rnacentral:lncRNA from 1 species
AUGGAGACACUGUGGGCAAAGGCACCCACUGGGGCUGACCGGUCCUCGGGGAAGGGGCCCACCAGCGACCCGGGCCUCGGUGGCUUGAGAGGCAGGGGCGUCGGAGGGAGGGCCCGGCACUCGCACACCACAGGGGAACCGGAGCCUGGGCCGCCUCCGCCCCUCCGCGUCCGCGCAGAGCAGGUCGGGCCCUGUGAGCUCAGCACGGGGAGAGGGAGCUGGGGGGGAGGCCCGCACGGCCCCCGGCCCCCAGCGCGCAGGGACCACGGCGUCAGUCCGGCCACAGCUCCACGCGGCAGCAGCGUCCGAAGCGCCUGGCAGGGGACGGCCGAGGGGACACCCCCAGAGGUCGAGGUCACGGGGUGGAGGCAGCUGGCACCACUAGCUAGGGUGGCCUCUGGCUCUGCAGGACUGUCCCCCCUCCCUGCCACCCCCUGGGCACUGGACUGCGGCGGAGGCUCGGGGCCAGGUCGCGGCUUCCAUCCCACUAAUAGUUCCAGGGCCCUGAGCAGCGACGUCCUCCCCCUGUGCCUCAGUUUCCUUAUCUGUCAAAUGCCGACGGUGGCCACAGUGUACAUUUCGGUUAGUUCUCCAGAUGGGGUGACCAUCCCACGACCACUGGACAAGGAUACAAGGACUUAGGGCAGCAGACCCUCAACCCCAGGCUGACCGCCGCAGGAGCCCGUGGACACGUAAUGAAAUACAGGUUCCCGGGUCUCCUCUUAGAGAGACCUGCUGGCUCGGCUGCGGGGCGGGGCCCAGGCACCUGGGCUGGAGACCCCCUGGCCCCCGGGCGGGCGGCCGGGCACGGGGACCCUGUGCCCCACACACCGCAGGGCAAGCGCAGGGCCCGAGGAGCCGAGGCGGUGCAGGCCGACGCUGGGGAGCUUCCCGACUCGGGGCCUCAGUGUCCUCUCCUGGGAGAUGGGGACGCCGCCAACCGUCCGGGCCCGGUAGACGGAGGCUGUGGGGUACCGAGCACAUAGCGAGUCCUCAAUAUGCAGCGGCCGUCGUCGCCUUUACGCCAGUUUGUACUUUGUGUCGUUUUUACAGGUUUUCAGCAAGUUCUCCAGGUGACUUACAACCCACAAGCCAUCAUUUUUAAGCUCUUUGCCUAAAACUUUUUUCUAUUUUUUUUUCUUUUUCUAUUUCACAAGUAAUGUAUGUUCAUCGUAAAGAUUCAGACAAUAGGGGCCCCUGGGGGGCUCAGGGGUUGAGCGUCUGCCUUGGGCCCAGGGCGUGACCCUGGGGUCCUGGAUCGAGUCCCGCGUCGGGCUCCCUGCAUGGAGCCUGCUUCUCCCUCUGCCUGGGUCUCUGCCUCUCUCCAUGUGUCUCUCAUGAAUAAAUAAAUAAAAUCUUUAAAAUAAAAAAAAAGAUUCAAACAAUCGAGAAGGACUGAGUGCUGCUACUUACAGUUUGGGGCGUAGCUUUCCAGACACCGUUUCCCUAUAAACAGGAAUAAACCCGCAGCUGCCGUGUCACGCACACGCACAUACACACACACACCCAGGAGUAUCAUACUUUGUAAGUUGUGCUGAAAUUUGCUUUUCUGCACUCAACAAUCUGCCCUGGACACCCCUCCAUGCCGCUCGGUUGAUCCAUUGGCCUAAGGGCUGAAAAGGGUUGUAUUACGUGCCCGUGCCUUGAUUUACCUAAUGAGGCACCUGAUGGACGUUUCCGUCGUUUUCUUUCUGGUUUUCCGUUCUUAUAAACAGGCCCACCGGCUCGUCCUCGGACGUUUAUCCCUGAACCUUUGGUCGCCGCCUUCCUGGGCGCCGGGGACCCGGACCCGAUACUCAGGACGCGCUGCUCUCAUUCAAACCUCCGCGGUCUCUGCCCGACUCGACGGGGGCAGGGGCUGAGGCUGGGGGUGUCGGGCCCUGUGCCCUCGGGUCCCGGAGCUGGCGAGUGGCAGGGCCAGGCUGAUGCCCGUGGGACACUGACGCGUCGCUGGCCCCGUGCCCGCCCCGGCCUCUAGCAGGGGCCCGUGGGACACCAGCAGACCCCAGGUGCAGGGAGGAGCCCAGACGCGCGUUUGCACACCUCUGCCCCCGCCCUCCGGCUCCCGUCCUGCGGCGACGACACGCCUGGGGGAGUCGGACCAGAGACGGAGCCAGCGCGUGGAGCCCCCCCAGGCCUGGCCACACCAGCGAGCCCCCCGGCCGCCGGCCAGCCGCUCCGAGGGGGACGAGCCCAGCCAAGACCAGCCGCUCCAGCCCGGGGGGCACAACGGCUCAGCCCACACCCAGGGGGCUGGAAAGGAACCGACACCUCUUCCCUGAAGCCACCGAGUUUGGGUGAGAGCUGCCAGGAUCUGGGACGGUGAGUGACCCACACGAAGCCCCCUCCGGCUCACGUCCCCUCGCACCUCAGGGAGCCGGGGGACCUCCUUCGGGGUCAAAGCCUGUAGGGAGCAGCCGUGCCGACAGGUGGAGGGUGGAGCCCCCCUCAAGCCCCUGCCAGCGAGCAGCUGAGAGUGGGUGAGAAAGCACUCGGGGGGCUGCUGUCCAAGGCCAGACCUGGGGCUGGGGGGCAGGGGGGGCAGCACGUUAGGGACGAAGGGGAGCCCGGGGCUCCUGACCCUAAGCCGAGACUUCCCGGAGCCACUGGGAACUGAGAGCAUCCUUAGGGCCAACAGAAGUUAUUUUAGUGGCCGAGGUGCCACCCCUGACGACACCAGGAAGCAACCCCAGGGACAGCCUGUUCCCAAUUUAGCGAGUCAAGUAAAAGAGCUGCAGUUUCCAUCUGAAGGCAUUAACUGCAGAUUUAUAUUUGAGGCCCCGUGUGCAGUUCUUUAUGCAUCCUUAAAUACCAAAACAUAAUUACCAAUGUCAAUACAUAAUGUUUAUUUCUUUCAGAACCGACAUUUUAAUUUUCCUGAGCAGGCGGGAGAAAUGAUAUGCAUAAAAAUAAUGACAAAUAUUAAAAGUCUCCCAAAUAAGGGACCGGGAUCACCCGCUUAAUCCUAAAUUUAAAUGCAUUCACGAUCACAGCCAUAUUAAAGGUCUGAUAAGCCAAAUUAGGUUCCAUGUAAGCAUAAUUAAUCUUCCUUUUCAAUGAAGAUAUUACAAGGGCGUUAAUUUGAAUCCCAAAGGCCUUUGGGAAAUUGAAUUAUAUAGAUAAAGCAAAUAUUUGACCUUUUACAGAUAAUUACUAUUUAAAAAAAAAGUUCACAAUGCAAAUGAACAGCAAGUAAACCGUGGGUGUUCCU